UGUUUAUCACUAACAAGGAGGCGAGUACAUCAUUUCAGAUUUCAAGAAACAGUUUUGGGGCAGAACAAAUGCUGAAGACAAAAAUCUACGAAUGACUAGUACCU
rnacentral:lncRNA from 1 species